AAGCGCUUGCAAUCAGACUUGCACGCAGUUGAUCAUCCGGUGUUCUCACCGGUGCACUCUGCUGCGUUCAGGCCAGCAUCGGUUCUGGUGGUUGGAUAAAGGCCUUGGGAAUGUAGCUCCUCUCGGGGAGUGUUAUAGCCCACCGUGUAAUACCCUGGGGGGGACUGAGGUUCGCGCAUCUGCAAGGAUGCUGGCGUAAUGGU
rnacentral:rRNA from 1 species